UACGGAGGGUGCAAGCGUUGCUCGGAAUUAUUGGGCGUAAAGCGCGCGCAGGCGGUUUUUUAAGUCUGAUGUGAAAGCCCACGGCUCAACCGUGGAGGGUCAUUGGAAACUGGGGAACUUGAGUGCAGAAGAGAAAAGCGGAAUUCCACGUGUAGCGGUGAAAUGCGUAGAGAUGUGGAGGAACACCAGUGGCGAAGGCGGCUUUUUGGUCUGUAACUGACGCUGAGGCGCGAAAGCGUGGGGAGCAAACAGG
rnacentral:rRNA from 1 species